AUGCCUGCGGAAGCAAUGCUCUGUCGCCACACAUCCUCCCUCCGGCCUUUCCCACACGGGCGCCUGGAGGGAAGCAAGCCUCUGCCUCGGCCUCUGCCAUGCAGACCUGGAGCCCGAGCCCGUCAGUGCGCCCGCUUGCUCCUGUUCGCAGACGCUGGCUGCUCUGUGUCAGGAUCGGGUUGGGAUUCGGAGGGGACCCCAGACAGCGCCUGCCCCACCCAGAGCUCCCCUCCGGUGCAGAAACCCCAAGCAAGCAAACACCAGGCACAGAGGGAGGCGAAUGGAGGAAAGCAAAGCAGGCCGGGCAGAGGGGGCGCCAGGGAGGGGAGGGGCCACAGAGAGGUCCUUGGGUCCAGGCCCUUGCUUCCCAAACCCUGUCUCCUAUACGGCCCCUUCUCGCUGUCCCCAGCACCCUGCCAUUCUUCCGCGGAUUCGUUCCUCUGUUCCUCCCUCGGGUACCUACUAUGUUGCAGGCACUCUGGGGAGACGCUGGAGGCUACUGUCCAGCGGGGGGUGCGCGUGAAUCAGUUGACGGUGGCGCGGACGCGACAGUGGCCCAGGGUUUCUCCGAGGGUGCCACAUGGGGACUUGACAUCAACCGGGGGUUCGGAAGGCUUCCCUGAGGGAGAGAUGCCCCAGCUGAGAUGCCCCCCAGGCCUGCGAGGGGCCAGGCUGCAAGAAAUCAGAGAGGUCGAGGACCAGAUGCUGGUGAGGCUGAGGAGAAAGGGGCCUGGCACCCGGCCCAUGCCCUGGAAGGACAAACAGACAGAGCUGACCAGGUGACACCUGCGUGCGUCCUUUCACCCCUACGCGCGUAGGAAUGGUUGCACAGCUCGUGCGCACGCGUGCGUGAUUCGGCCUUUGCACGAGGUGAUCCGCCGCAGCGCAGACUGUCCUGGGAAAGGGCUGGAAACACCCCACGCGGGCUCCAGCUGAGAGCUGCGGAGGAAAACUGUGACACCCCGGCACGCUGUGUGGCAGCAAACAUGUGAAGGUGAUGACACCUUCCGUGUCCUGCUAUGGAGUGCGCUCAUAAAUAGAAGGUUCGCUAAAGAAAAGCCAGGCGCAGAACACUGGGAGUAGCAGAGACUCCAUCAAGCGCAGUUUCCCGCAUGCCCUGCAGAGUCACCUCCACUGCCAUUGACAGUGGAGCCUGUCCUCUCCCCCCCCGCCCCCAUCGCCACCCGGACCUGCAGUACGUUGGG
rnacentral:lncRNA from 1 species